rnacentral:tRNA from 2 species
GGCUGGGUAGCUCAGGUGGUUAGAGCGCACGACUCAUAAUCGUGAGGUCGCGGGAUCGAGCCCCGCUCCAGCUA